rnacentral:rRNA from 1 species
AUUGAACGCUGGCGGCAGGCCUAACACAUGCAAGUCGAACGAGUGGCGGACGGGUGAGUAAUGUCUGGGACACUGCCUUCUGGAGGGGGCUAACUACUGGAAACGGUAGCUAAUACCGCAUACCAUCGGAUGUGCCCAGAUGGGAUUAGCUAGUAGGUGGGUUAACGGCUCACCUAGGCGACGAUCCCUAGCUGGUCUGAGAGGAUGACCAGCCACACUGGAACUGAGACACGGUCAAGACUCCUACGGGAGGCAGCAGUGGGGAAGUUGGCACAAUGGGCGAAAGCCUGAUGCAGCCAUGCCGCGUGUAUGAAGAAGGGAUUCGGGUUGUAAAGUACUUUCAGCGGGGAGGCGUUACCCGCAGAAGAAGCACCGGCUAACUCCGUGCCAGCAGCCGCGGUAAUAC